rnacentral:lncRNA from 1 species
AUGUAGUUACAGUCUUGUGCAGUGUUGCAACAUCCUCUGCAAAGGGUAAGGAAACACAAAAAUUAUACUUUUAUUAUACUUUUAUAUACAUUUACCUUUACUAGUUUUAUUUAGUGUCAGCUACUAUUGUCAUUUAAAAGAGUGGCCAUUGAAACAAAAAUAUUAAUUAGUCUAAUAGAUAUCAGUGGUGUUAUUCAACUUUUCAAAAUAUUUUUCCAAAAUUGUUAUUAACUAAUUGUUGUAGAGGUACAAAAGAGUAGACAAACAAACUCUGUUUAUGCGCGCGGUUUUAAUAUUUUAUUUUAUUUUGAUUUAUUAUUUAUUUUAUCUAUUUUUUUUCCUUUGGAGGCGGAGACCGAGCUUGCUCUUGAGCCAUGAACGCUGUAUAACAGUAUCAGUUAGUGAGACGGAAGACGUAGCUGCAGAUGGAGCGCGCUCAGAGUAGCCCAAACAGUUAAAAAGUGUUGCGUUAUCUGAAACUUAAACAAUUACAGAAAGGCACUGAACAAGGAACUAAAAGAGCACAGAACUUUUACACACCCACCCAAAUUGGAUACCACUUUGACUGGACGGCGAGGGACAGUAUUUUGAUGACCGUGAAAGUGUCCAUCGUGCCAGAGAGAGCCAGUGAGUGACCUUACACAGAGCCUUAACUCUGAGCCUCUAAACACAGUUGCAUAAGAUAUUUUUUUCAUUCAUUAUUACAUAUGUUUUUCAUAGAUUACUAAAUGUAAAUUAACAGUAAUGUGUUUUUUUCAGAUUUGACACAUUUUUGCAUGCUUAAGAAAUUUUGAUGAGAUUGGUUGAUCUUCAGACAGUUAGCUCAAGGUUGACGUUUUAUAAUGAGUUUUCUCUUACACUCAUUUACAGACAUGUACUUGACAACGACUCAUGUGUGUUGUGGUAAAAACAACAUAUUUCAAUGGAAGGAAAAUCAUUCUUGUUGUGGCGAGAAAACAUAUGACGAGACAAUCCACUGCUGCUGUAGUAACCCUACACCAGUAGUAAAGCAUAAAAAUGAAACUUGCUGUCUAAAAGCAAAAGAUCAUGAUAAAAAAACAGAACACCAGCCAGGCUCUCCUCCAACUCGCCCUCUGCCCAUAUUAUCAGACUUGAUUUGUGGAUCAGAAACCUACAAUCCCCAUAAACAAAUGUGUUGCUCAGGGAAUCUGUAUAAGGCAUCAGCACUUACUAAGGUAUUGGAUAUUUCUCUGAACACUAUUAUUUUCAGUAAAAUGUGCUUGUUAAAGUGGUGGUUGAUUGUGUAAUGUUGCUGUUUGAGCAUAAACAAUAUCUGCAAAGUUACGACGCUGAAAGUUUAAUGCAAGCGGAGAUAUUGUCUUUUAAAAUUAUGUCAGUUUAAUGCCUACAAAAACGUCUCGUAGGGACUCCAACAAGCUACUUCCAGGGUUUGUGAUGUCACCAACCCAGAAAUUUACAAAAACCCCACCCCUGGGAACAUGCAACAAAGUGGGUGAGGCCAUGUGCUGCUUUAGAGAAGAGGAAGAGUUGUUGCCAUGCAAUCUAAACUAGGGGUGCUCUUAAAAAAAAUCUAUUCAUAUAUGAAUCGCGAUUCUGUCUUCUAACGAUUGUAAUGGAUUCACAAGUUUCAAAAUCAAUGUUCUAAAGCAUCGGUGCUUAAUCCUGUUUCUCGCGUCCCCUGCUCUGCAUCUCUCUCUCUCUCUCAUCGCUUUCUCUCUCUCUCUCUCUCUCUCUCUCAUCGGUGCUUAAUCCUCGUUUCUCGCGUCCCCCUCGCUCUGCAUCUCUCUCUCUCUCUCUCUCUCUCUCUCUCUCUCAUUCAGAUCAUUAGCUCAUCAGCUCCUUCAAAGAACUG